CCCUUAGAUGUUCUGGGCCGCACGCGCGCUACACUGAUGCAUUCAACGAGUUUCUUCCUGGUCCGAGAGGAAUGGGUAACCUUUUGAAAGUGCAUCGUGAUAGGGAUAGACUAUUGCAAUUAUUGGUCUUCAACGAGGAAUUCCUAGUAGACGUAGUUCAUCAGACUGCAUCGAUUACGUCCCUGCCCUUUGUACACACCGCGCGUCGCUCCUACCGAUUGAAUGCUCAGGUGAGCCAUUCGGACUUUCAUCAUGCUGGUUUCCAGUUUUGAUGAAGGAAAGUCUUGCGAACCUUAUCAUUUAGAGGAAGGAGAAGUCGUAACA
rnacentral:rRNA from 1 species